rnacentral:misc_RNA from 1 species
AAGUCGUAACAAGGUCUCCGUUGGUGAACCAGCGGAGGGAUCAUUACCGAGUCACGUACUCAAACAACCCUUCUGUGGACUUGAAUAAACCGUUGCCUCGGCGGGCGGCCCCCCGCAGCUAAAUUGCGGGAGCCAAAUAGUCCGGCCACCUUUGGGGGGUGGUGAACCCCACUAAGGUGCUCCCGGCGCCAGCCGCUGGCCCCAAACAACUAAACUCUAAGUAACUUUACCUUCUGAGUUAUAAUACAAAAAAUAAGUCAAAACUUUCAACAACGGAUCUCUUGGCUCUG